UGUUCUCCUUGUGGCUGCAGCAGCCGCACUAAGACACUGGCCACACCUGGUUUCUCCACAGCCGCUGCAGCCACGAGGAGAAGGCCACCCUCUCGCGUUCAAACACAGGUGCACCCACCGUGGAACCACAGCCACAGUGGAGCUGUGGAAUGUGCCCGUCACCCACAGCCCGCCUCUGAGUCACUGCCGUCACCCACAGCCCUGCCCCGACCCACAGCCUGCGUCUCAGUCACUGCCCAUCACCCACAGCCCUGCAUCUCAGUCACUGCCCGUCACCCACAGCCCUGCCUCUCAGUCCCUGCCGUCACCCACAGCCCUGCCUCUCAGUCACUGCCCGUCACCCACAGCCCUGCCUCUCAGUCACUGCCCGUCACCCACAGCCCUGCCUCUCAGUCACUGCCCGUCACCCACAGCC
rnacentral:lncRNA from 1 species